CCGCAAGGCACUUGAAGAUGAGCCCGCGUAAGAUUAGCUAGUUGGCGAGGUAACGGCUCACCAAGGCGAUGAUCUUUAGCUGGUCUGAGAGGAUGAUCAGCCACACUGGAACUGAGACACGGUCCAGACUCCUACGGGAGGCAGCAGUAGGGAAUAUUGCGCAAUGGGGGAAACCCUGACGCAGCGACGCCGCGUGAAUGAUGAAGGCCUUCGGGUCGUAAAACUCUGUUAUAUGGGAAUAAGAUCUG
rnacentral:rRNA from 1 species